UAGAAGAUAUGAUUAUAACAAUUUCUUUUACUUAGGCGGACUAGGUACAAGAAAAACAAUUGCUGCCACACAAGACGACCAAGGUCCGCUCUGCUCUGGUGCUAUCCCUCGCUCUAGCUCCGUUCGUUGCUGCACAAGAAAAACAGAGACAAGCGAAAACAAAUUAUCUAAGAUGAGUCUGUCGAUGAAGCGACAGCGUCUCCUCUAGAGGGUGACGGCGGCGGCGCCUGUGUGCGGCUUCGACUACAACCUCCUCUCCGGAGCUCCAGUCCUAAGAAAGUUGGAAGUGCGAAGACGUGAAGAAAAGCGCGAAGCUGUGAAGUGCGACUCAGCAAAGAGUUGUCUGUUCCAUUUGACUGUAAUAUUGUAAUAGCUGGUAUACCUAGGUUGUAAUAGUCUAUAGAAAUUGUAAUACACUAAUCUAGUGUUAUUUGAUGAAUUUCACAUGUUCUCUUGUUUGGAAUAUUUGAUUAUGAAUGUUAUUUGAUAGUGUGUGAGAUGGGAACCU